UACGUAGGGUGCAAGCGUUGCUCGGAAUUAUUGGGCGUAAAGGGUAGGUAGGUGGUCUCAUUUGUCUGGGGUGAAAGCUUUGAGCUUAACUCAAGAAGUGCCCCAGAAACGGUGAGACUAGAGUUCUGGAGAGGGUCGUGGAAUUCCCGGUGUAGCGGUGAAAUGCGUAGAGAUCGGGAGGAACACCAGAGGCGAAGGCGGCGACCUGGACAGAUACUGACACUCCACUACGAAAGCGUGGGGAGCAAACAGG
rnacentral:rRNA from 1 species